rnacentral:rRNA from 1 species
GACGAACGCUGGCGGCGCGCCUAACACAUGCAAGUCGCACGGUGAGACGGGCUUCGGCCCGAGGAUCAGUGGUGAACGGGUGCGUAACACGUGGGCAACCUGCCCCUCACGCUGGGAUAACCCCGGGAAACCGGAGCUAAUACCGGAUACUCCGACCGAACCACAUGGCCCGAUCGGGAAAGGUCCGCCGGUGAGGGAUGGGCCCGCGGCCUAUCAGCCUGUUGGGGAGGUAACGGCUCACCAAGGCGACGACAGGUAGCUGGUCUGAGGGGGCGACCAGCCACACUGGGACUGAGAUGCGGCCCAGACUCCUACGGGAGGCAGCAGUGGGGAAUCUGGCGCAAUGGGCGAAAGCCUGACGCAGCGACGCCGCGUGGGGGAUGAAGGCCCUCGGGUUGUAAACCCCUUUCGGCAGGGACGAAGCGAUCGUGACGGUGCCUGCAGAAGAAGCCUCGGCUAACUACGUGCCAGCCGCCGCCGUAA